rnacentral:rRNA from 1 species
UAGGGAAUCUUCCACAAUGGGCGAAAGCCUGAUGGAGCAACGCCGCGUGUGUGAUGAAGGGUUUCGGCUCGUAAAACACUGCUGUAAGAGAAGAAUGACAUUGAGAGUAACUGUUCAAUGUGUGACGGUAUCUUACCAGAAAGGAACGGCUAAAUACGUGUCAG